AAACCAUGCAUCGGACAUUUCCGUAGCAAGUCUUUAAAUCGCUCCCAAACUUAAUACAAGUUCUCAUCCUCUAAUUGCUUGAAAGAUGUGAUGUCAUUCCUCAAUCU